rnacentral:rRNA from 1 species
UGGGGAAUAUUGCACAAUGGGCGCAAGCCUGAUGCAGCAACGCCGCGUGAGUGAAGAAGGCCUUCGGGUCGUAAAGCUCUUUCGACAGGGAAGAAGGGUGAUGCGGUGAACAAUCGCGUUGCUUGACGGUACCUGUAUAAGAAGCACUGGCUAACUCCGUGCCAGCAGCCGCGGUAAUACGGAGGGUGCAAGCGUUGUUCGGAUUGACUGGGUGUAAAGCGCACGUAGGCGGAUUUGAAAGUCGAUUGUGAAAUCCUUGGGCUUAACCCAAGAGUGGCAAUCGAAACUCCAAAUCUUGAAUGCUUGAGAGGUUAGCGGAAUUCCAGGUGUAGGAGUGAAAUCCGUAGAUAUCUGGAGGAACACCAGCGGCGAAGGCGGCUAACUGGCGAUGCAUUGACGCUGAGGUGCGAAAGCGUGGGGAGCAAACAGG